rnacentral:rRNA from 1 species
UUAGUACGGCGAGUGAAGCGGUAAAAGCUCAAAUUUGAAAUCUGGUACUUUCAGUGCCCGAGUUGUAAUUUGUAGAAUUUGUCUUUGAUUAGGUCCUUGUCUAUGUUCCUUGGAACAGGACGUCAUAGAGGGUGAGAAUCCCGUUUGGCGAGGAUACCUUUUCUCUGUAAGACUUUUUCGAAGAGUCGAGUUGUUUGGGAAUGCAGCUCAAAGUGGGUGGUAAAUUCCAUCUAAAGCUAAAUAUUGGCGAGAGACCGAUAGCGAACAAGUACAGUGAUGGAAAGAUGAAAAGAACUUUGAAAAGAGAGUGAAAAAGUACGUGAAAUUGUUGAAAGGGAAGGGCAUUUGAUCAGACAUGGUGUUUUUUGCAUGCACUCGCCUCUCGUGGGCUUGGGCCUCUCAAAAAUUUCACUGGGCCAACAUCAAUUCUGGCAGCAGGAUAAAUCAUUAAGAAUGUAGCUACUUCGGUAGUGUUAUAGCUUUUUGGAAUACUGUUAGCCGGGAUUGAGGACUGCGCUUCGGCAAGGAUGUUGGCAUAAUGGUUAAAUGCCGCCCGUCUUGAACCACGGGACCA